GAUGGCCAAGCAAAUAAUGGAUCUGUGGCCAAAAAAAUUUGUUUUGACAACUCUUCUGUAGAGAUUAUUGAUGGCAAGGAAGAAGUUGAGAUAAUAAGUGAUGCUGAGAAAAAACUUCAGGAACCUGAGAUAAUUAUUGAUGCUGAAAAAAAAAAAAAAAGAAAAAGAACCGAUAGAAACUGUUGAACUUGAUAAUGAUGGUGUUCCUGGAGCCUUAUUACAAACUUUUGUGACAAAAUCAGAUUUAAAACAAAUUAUGUCAGAGAUUUUAUCAAAGCAGUCAGGAUUUCAAGGUCACUCGAGUCAAGAUACUGGAUCACAAUGUAACAAUAAUAAAAUAAAAAAAUCGAAUUCUCAUGACGUUGGCAAUCAAAAUGAUGAAACUGA